GAGUUUAUGUACAGUUCUGUUCUGCCUUUUGCUUGACAGCAUCCUGUUAAAAUACUGUUUUCCAAAUUUAUGUUUGACCUACAUCACUGGCGUCAUGUGACAUCCCUGGAUAUCAUGCAAGUUACCGUGAUGCAAACGAAGUUAACAAGAGUUUUUAAAAGUUUUGUACCUGUCACAGUUUUUAUUCAGCUGAGUGUUUGUCCGUUCAUGCAAGCACAGAACAGUCAAGAAUGAUUUCAGUUAAAAGCAGGCAUAGUUUAAGGAACAGAAUGUCUCUGGAAAAAAUUUCAUCAGCCUAAUGGAAACCAUCCACAUGGCACUGGUAAUCUAUCUUCCUGAGAAAGCACUGAAGGAAGCUACUGUGCUUAUAAAUCCCAAUUGUGGCAAAAGGUGACACAAGAUUUGCUUAUCAGCCUGUUCCAGGGUCUUAUAAUCACAAAAUAAGCUCUAUUCUUAAAUGGUCUUCUAAAAUUGUUAUAUGAAAUAAAAUUGCUGCCUUGUAACUGAAUUUGAGUAUU
rnacentral:lncRNA from 1 species